GGAAUAUUGCGCAAUGGGCGAAAGCCUGACGCAGCGACGCCGCGUGUGGGAUGACGGCCUUCGGGUUGUAAACCACUGUCGGGAGGGACGAAGAUCUGAUGGUACCUCCAAAGGCAGCACCGGCUAACUCUGUGCCCGCAGCCGCGGUAAUACCGAGGGGGCAAGCGUUGUCCGGAAUUACUGGGCGUAAAGGGCGCGUAGGCGGCUCGAUAAGUAGGGGGUGAAAUUCCGCGGCUCAACCGCGGGGCGGCCUUCUAAACUGUCGGGCUUGAGCACGGUAGAGGCGAAUGGAAUUCCCGGUGUAGCGGUGGAAUGCGUAGAGAUCGGGAAGAACACCAGUGGCGAAGGCGGUUCGCUGGGCCGUUGCUGACGCUGAGGCGCGACAGCGUGGGGAGCAAAC
rnacentral:rRNA from 1 species